UCUCUGCGCUUUAUUCUGUUCAAAUCCGCUGCUUUUACUUUGCCGUUUCACUGAGAACGAGGCUCACUCACUCUGUCUCUCUCUCUCUCUUUCUCUUUCAUAGAAGAAGAAGAAGGAAGGACCAACCAAGCCAGAAAGCUUAAACCAACACUUUCACUCUCUCUCUCUCUUCAAAUCACACUACUUUUUUAUUUUGCUUUCUCUAUCCAAAGAUCUUCCUCAUUGUCUUCCUUCAAGAAUUGUUGUCUCUUCAACACCUUUUUAUUACUUCUUCUUAUUCUCAUUUUGUCUCUGUUCUGAGAAAAAGAGAGUCUCAUCACAACAAAAACUAAACCCAUUUUCUUUAAUUCCGACAAAAACCCUUUAAUCCUAAAUUUCUCCUACUUAGCUUCUGUCUUGAUUCAUAGGAGGGGAGAAAGAAGCCAUUUCUUGUCAAAUCUCGUAUUUCUAAACAGUGAUUCAACUUUGUACGAGAGUUUUGAUUUGAUCUCUCAUCUCUGUUGUCUCUUCUUUUUUUUUUUUGUGGUUCUUUGGAUGGAUUGAGUCUCUACAUAACUUAAGAACAAACCUGUAAAUUAAGUAAAGAGCAACAAUGAGAGACGACAAAUCCAAGAAAAGCAAGUUGUCUUGGUCCAAGAAGAUGGUGAGGAAAUGGUUCAACAUCAAAAGCAAAACUGAAAAGUUUCAAGCAGACGUUUCUGUUCCUCAAGGAGUUGAAGUUGAGCACAGAACCAGCUUUUCAGAAACAAAGCCCUGUACAAUCAAGAAGACUAAAACUGAGAAACUCAAUAAGAACUGGGAGCAGCAAGCUAGACAAAGGAAAAUGAAUUAUGAAAAUCCAAGAAUCAUUGAUGUCCAAAACCACAGCAUCUUCGUAGCUACAUGGAACGUUGCUGGACGCUCUCCUCCCGAAGAUCUAAACCUCGACGAAUGGCUUCAUUCUUCAGCUCCUGCAGAUAUAUACGUACUCGGGUUCCAAGAGAUUGUUCCUCUUAAUGCUGGUAACGUUCUUGGAGCUGAAGACAAUGGUCCUGCUAAGAAAUGGCAUUCCCUCAUCAGGAAAACACUCAACAACCUCCCAGGGACAAGCAGUGUCUGUCAUACUCCGUCCCCUAUACCUGUCCCCAUUGCAGAGAUUGAUGCUGACUUCUCCGGAUCUUCGAGGCAAAAGAACGAGACUAUCUUCAACAGACGGUCUUUCCAAACACCGAGCGUAUGGAGAAUGGAUGAGAAUGAUCCUUCCGUCUCACAACCGCGGCUUGACCGACGUUUCAGCGUCUGUGAUCGCGUAUUCUUCACACAUAGACCAAGUGAUUUCGAUCCAAGCUUCAGGUGUAGUCACAGGGCUAGUGAUUACUCGAGAAGGCCUAGUGAUUACUCUAGACCAAGUGAUUAUUACUCUAGGCCAAGUGAUUAUUCUCGGCCUAGUGAUGUCUCUCGGUGGGGGUCCUCGGAUGAUGAUAAUAAUAAUGGUCCAGGGGAUUCUCCUAGCACAAUCUUAAAUUCACCAGGGUCAUGCCCUGGUCCUGCAUCAAACGAAAAUGGUUAUAGAAUCCCGUGGAACUCAUCACAGUACUGUUUGGUCGCAAGUAAACAGAUGGUUGGUAUCUUUUUAACAAUUUGGGUGAAAAGUGAGUUACGAGAACAUGUCAAGAACAUGAAAGUAUCUUGUGUUGGUAGAGGAUUAAUGGGUUAUCUCGGAAAUAAGGGAUCAAUCUCAAUUAGUAUGUUGCUUCAUCAAACAAGCUUUUGCUUUGUCUGCACCCAUUUGACCUCGGGACAAAAAGAAGGCGAUGAGCUAAGGAGAAACUCAGAUGUCAUGGAGAUACUCAAGAAAACAAGGUUUCCUCGUGUGCAGAGUUCUGUGGACGAGAAGUCCCCUGAGAAUAUCCUUCAGCAUGAUCGUGUAAUAUGGCUCGGGGAUCUGAACUACCGUAUAGCACUCUCUUACCGAUCUGCAAAAGCGCUUGUCGAGAUGCAAAACUGGAGAGCAUUACUAGAGAACGAUCAGUUACGGAUAGAGCAGAAACGAGGCCAUGUGUUUAAAGGAUGGAACGAAGGGAAGAUAUACUUCCCACCAACUUACAAAUACUCGACUAACUCGGAUAGGUAUGCAGGAGAUGAUUUGCAUCCAAAGGAGAAACGUCGUACUCCUGCAUGGUGUGAUCGGAUAUUGUGGCAUGGAGAAGGACUUCAUCAGUUAUCUUAUGUAAGAGGGGAGUCACGGUUUUCAGAUCAUAGACCGGUCUAUGGCAUAUUCAGCGCAGAGGUUGAGUCAAAUCACAAGAGAUUAAAGCGAACCGCGAGUCACUCCACUGCACGGGUCCAAGCUGAAGAACUCUUACCUUACGCCCGUGGAUACACCGAGCUAACUUUUUUCUAAAAGACAAUCAAAAAGGAGUUCUUAAAGGUAACAUCUCUAUUCAUAAAAAUUUAUACAUUGACCAGAAAAUUAGGAGAUAACUGAUGGAAUGUAGUGUCAGUGACAUGAAGCAAUGAAAGCCAAUGUAGUAAGUAGUCUAUUAGUAGUAGACUAGUAGUAGUAGUAGUUGUGGUCCUCAAACACAAAAUAGAGACUUAAGUCCAUUAAGACUGGUCUGCAUUUAUUAUAUAUCAGCCAAGAAAAGUAUAACCAACACGUUUCUCUCAUAUCAUUUAAGGCACAACAGGUUGAUUUGGAUAAAAAUGGACCCGGUAAAGCGAUCUGUUUUUCGAUUCGAAAAUGUGAUAAGAUAUUGUCUCUGCAUCAUCAUUCAUCAGCAAUAAUGAUUUUUCUUGAAACCAAGAUUUUUUUGUGUGAUUCUUGAGUCUUGAGAGGAGGAAAAAAAAAACUUUUAUUUUCUGAAAAAUCUCAUAAAUUAAAGUUUGUUUUCGAGUGUUUUGAAGGCUUGAGGAGUGAUGAUGGAGACAUUUCAUUUGCUCCUUUUAACACAGAGGAAACACAUAACAGGUGUAUAAAGGAUUGUAAUUUUGUCUAGGUAAAU